UACGUAUGGUGCAAGCGUUAUCCGGAUUUACUGGGUGUAAAGGGAGCGCAGGCGGCACGGCAAGCCUGAUGUGAAAGCCCGCGGCCCAACCGCGGGACUGCAUUGGGAACUACCGGGCUGGAGUGCCGGAGAGGUAGGCGGAAUUCCUAGUGUAGCGGUGAAAUGCGUAGAUAUUAGGAGGAACACCAGUGGCGAAGGCGGCCUACUGGACGGUGACUGACGCUGAGGCUCGAAGGCGUAGGGAGCAAACAGG
rnacentral:rRNA from 1 species